rnacentral:rRNA from 1 species
UACAGAGGUCUCAAGCGUUGUUCGGAUUCAUUGGGCGUAAAGGGUGCGUAGGCGGCGGGGCAAGUCGGAUGUGAAAUCUCAGGGCUCAACCCUGAAACUGCAUUCGAUACUGCCUUGCUCGAGGACUGGAGAGGAGAUUGGAAUUCACGGUGUAGCAGUGAAAUGCGUAGAUAUCGUGAGGAAGACCAGUGGCGAAGGCGGAUCUCUGGACAGUUCCUGACGCUGAGGCACGAAGGUCAGGGGAGCAAACGGG